GACGAACGCUGGCGGCGUGCUUAACACAUGCAAGUCGAACGGAAAGGCACUGCUUUUGUGGGGUGCUGGAGUGGCGAACGGGUGAGUAUCACGUGAGUAACCUGCCCUUGACUUUGGGAUAACUUCAGGAAACUGGGGCUACUACCGGAUAGGAGCUCAUGCUGCAUGGUGGGGGUUGGAAAGUUUCGGCGGGUGGGGAUGGACUCGCGGCUUAUCAGCUUGUUGGUGGGGUAGUGGCUUACCAAGGCUGUGACGGGUAGCCGGCCUGGGAGGGAGACCGGCCACAUUGGUACUGAGAGACGGCCCAGACGCCUACGUGAGGCAGCAGUGGGGAAUAUUGCACAACGGGCGGGAGCCUGAUGCAGCAACGCCGCGGGCGGGAUGACGGCCUUCGGGUUGUAAACCGCUUUCGCCUGUGACGAAGCGUGAGUGACGGUAAUGAGUAAAGAAGCACCGGCUAACUACGUG
rnacentral:rRNA from 1 species